UCGUACAGUAUUUCACAACACUGCCGGUGAAAAGACGACGAGUCUACAACGUUAAUGCUUAUAGCUAAAAGGUUAACAAGCGAGAUCUUGUAGUACGGCUAGUUAUGUUUUGAAUUGGCUAUAUAGUUAAUGAAAUUCUUUUCUAGGCUACCUGCUGCUGAAAUGUCUCUCUCUCCUCGAGCAACAGCCCAUUCGCACUGGCACACAUGCAGAUGAAGCACAGCACACACAGAGAGACGCACUGAAGGGAACUGACUCCAGUUAUAAUUAGUGAGUGGUAAUUCUGCGAAAAGGAGGGUUUCUUACCUUUUACAAUCAAUAUGGCCACUGCUGACAGGCUCUCCACGUCUGUGUCCACCACGCAGAUGUACUUCCCGGCAUGAUUCAACUGGAUGUUUCUGAUCAUCAGAUCCCCAGCUGUUCUCUACAAAGGCAAUCAUAAGAAAUCCCAAACAACCUGGGACCAGAGAUGUGGGUGAGCUGUGAACUUUGCCCUUUGUGAUGCUGUUCAUCACCACACAGGUAUAGUUGCCCACAUCUGAGGGCUCCACUUUGGCGAUGUACAGGUUGCCAGUCUCCUGAGAUACGAAGCGCCUGUUGUCUUGCUGGACGAAGUAUGGGUAUUCAUUGAAGACCCAUGAAUAACUAAGGUCUAGAAAGGGAAAUGAAGGGGAGAUUUAGCCAACUACUGAUAUGACGUUACAUUCAAAACUUGAAACCAAGAACACAAAUGCUGCAUUUAUACAGGCAGCCCAGUUCUGAUCUUUUGCCCAAUUGGCAAAGAUCUGAUGUGAUUUGUCAAAACACCAAUACCCUAUGAAAGUGAUGCUAAUUGUUACUUCUGGGAUCCUCGUUUUGUAGGCUAAGAAUGGGCUUCAAAAAUGCAUCCUCAAAUCCAUGAAAACGUGCUAAUUUAAGAUAUAUAUUAAAAUGUAUGUGUUUAGAAAACAUAAUCUACAAAUUUGACGCCCAAGAAAAAGCACGAAGCCAAAAAGUUACAACUCUUUCAUUUGAACUACAGACAUAAACAACAACUGCUUAAAGGUGUUUCGACAUUUUUUUUACAUUUUCAAAAAGUACUGGGUGGCAACAUUCACAAAAAAAGCAUAAUCUAUUAUGAAACACAUAAAAUUGCCUGUAGCUAACGGGUUCUUACCAUCCUGUAGGUCCUCAGCUUGAGCAGGCGCGCUCCAGCAUGCUAACAACGCUGCAACACUUUUCUAACUUUCAACGAUGUGUCUUACUUCUUGAGAUUCAAAUAUUUUGAUGAAAGGCAUUGGGUGUGAGUAAAUCAGUAAACAAAUACGAUUAUAAUUAUAUAUACAGUGCCUUGCGAAAGUAUUCGGCCCCCUUGAACUUUGCGACCUUUUGCCACAUUUCAGGCUUCAAACAUAAAGAUAUAAAACUGUAUUUUUUUU